rnacentral:rRNA from 1 species
GACGAACGCUGGCGGCGUGCUUAACACAUGCAAGUCGAACGGAAAGGCCCCCACCUUGGUGGGGGUGCUCGAGUGGCGAACGGGUGAGUAACACGUGGGUGAUCUGCCCUGUACUUCGGGAUAAGCUUGGGAAACUGGGUCUAAUACCGGAUAGGACCAGGGUUUAGUGUCUCAUGGUGGAAAAAUAUUGUUUUGGUGCAGGAUGAGCUCGCGGCCUAUCAGCUUGUUGGUGGGGUAAUGGCCUACCGAGGCGUCGACGGGUAGCCGGCCUGAGAGGGUGGACGGCCACAGUGGGACUGAGAUACGGCCCAGACUCCUACGGGAGGCAGCAGUGGGGAAUAUUGCACAAUGGGCGCAAGCCUGAUGCAGCGACGCCGCGUGGGGGAUGACGGCCUUCGGGUUGUAAACUCCUUUCGUUAGGGACGAAGCCACACCUUUUUUGGGUGUGGUGACGGUACCUUUGUUAAGAAGCACCGGCUAACUACGUG